AACCUGGUUGAUCCUGCCAGUAGUCAUAUGCUUGUCUCAAAGACUAAGCCAUGCAUGUCUAAGUAUAAGUAUUAUACAGCGAAACUGCGAAUGGCUCAUUAAAACAGUUAUAAUUUAUUUGAUAAUCGAAUUUACAUGGAUAACCGUGGUAAUUCUAGAGCUAAUACAUGCUGGUAGGCCCGACUUUUUGGAAGGGCGGUAUUUAUUAGAUAACAAACCAAUAUUCCUCUGGUCUAUUGUGGUGAAUCAUAAUAACUGAUCGAAUCGCAAGGUUUUUAACCGCGAUAAGUCAUUCAAGUUUCUGCCCCAUCAGCUUUCGAUGGUAGUGUAUUGGACUACCAUGGCUUUUACGGGUAACGGAGGAUUAGGGUUCGAUUCCGGAGAGGGAGCCUGAGAAACGGCUACCACAUCUAAGGAAGGCAGCAGGCGCGU
rnacentral:rRNA from 1 species